rnacentral:ncRNA from 1 species
UUAAUGGCGAUGAAGGGAACAAGUACCUUGAAGUGUUCUGCCCAGAGAAACCCCGGUUGGUGUAAGGGGCCGCAGAGCAACAGGGGAAAUACCUCCCGGAGCUGCAGGCUGAAUGCCGUUCAGGUUAAUAGGCUGUGCCGCGUGCGAGCGUUACAAACGCAGGAGUGUCUCUCUACUCUGGGGUGUGCACUCGUGAGGUCGUUUCUGUGAGGAAGCGGCAAACAGAGGUGGUACCGCGAAUUUUCUCGCCCUCUGC